UCCACUCGCUGCAACGGAUUCCACGUGGCUCCACCACUCUCUGACAAGCCACGACAAGGGCCGCUACCCUGCUUCACUCUCUGACAAGCCACGACAAGGGCCGCUACUCUGCUCACUCUCUGGCAAAUCACGACAACGGACACCACUCCACUCUCCACAAUGAGCUCCACGUGGCCCUGAACGACCCGUGACGCCACUACUCUCUGUAACAAACUCCGCACGGCUCUGAACAACCCAUUACUAGAUGGUUAUAGAUGUCGCUGUC
rnacentral:lncRNA from 1 species